rnacentral:rRNA from 1 species
AUUGAACGCUGGCGGCAUGCUUUACACAUGCAAGUCGAACGGCAGCGCGGGCUUCGGCCUGGCGGCGAGUGGCGGACGGGUGAGUAAUGCAUAGGAACAUGCCCAGUCGUGGGGGAUAGCCCGGCGAAGGGAGGCUUAAUACCGCAUCCGACAAGAUGUUGAAAGGGGGGGACCGAAAGGCAUCGAGGUUUUGGCGGUGCCGUAUACGUGUUUCCGCGCCGGAUUAGCUAGUUGGUACGAUAACGGCUUACCAAGGCGACGAUGCGUAGCCGGCCUGAGAGGACGACCGGCCACACUGGGACUGAGACACGGCCCAGACUCCUACGGGAGGCAGCAGUGGGGAAUCUUCGACAAUGGGGGCAAGCCUGAUCCAGCCACGCCGCGUGCGGGAAGAAGGCCUUCGGGUUGUAAACCGCUUUUGUUCGGGAAGAAAAAAUCUGGGAUAAUACCCCGGGGGCAUGACGGUACCGAAAGAAUAAGCACCGGCUAACUACGUG